ACGACCAGCUGGGAGUCAGUGCAAGUUUUCAAGUUUCGUAUCUCUAGUUCUCUGGCUAUUCGAAGCCCUAUGGCCAAGGCUUCAUAUUUGGCCUCAUUACUUGUUGUUGAAAAUUUGAAGCGCAAGACAUAUUUGGCUACUGUCCCUUUCGGGUUCAAGAAGAUCAGUCCCGCUCUGGAUCCUAUAUAGUUGGAUGAGCCAUCCACGUACAUCACCCA
rnacentral:lncRNA from 1 species